CCCGAAGAAAAAGCAUCGGCUAACUCCGUGCCAGCAGCCGCGGUAAUACGGAGGAUGCGAGCGUUAUCCGGAUUUAUUGGGUUUAAAGGGUGCGCAGGCGGCGCGCCAAGUCAGCGGUCAAAGUUCCGGGCUCAACCCGGUGUCGCCGUUGAAACUGGCGUGCUCGAGUGCGUGCGAGGAAGGCGGAAUGCGUUGUGUAGCGGUGAAAUGCAUAGAUAUGACGCAGAACUCCGAUUGCGAAGGCAGCUUUCCAGCGCGCUACUGACGCUGAGGCACGAAAGCGUGGGGAUCGAACAGGAUUAGAUACCCUGGUAGUCCACGCAGUAAACGAUGACUACUAGCUUUCCGGGAUGAUUGAGUCCUGGGAGGCACAGCGAAAGCGUUAAGUAGUCCACCUGGGGAGUACGCCGGCAACGGUGAAACUCAAAGGAAUUGACGGGGGCCCGCACAAGCGGAGGAACAUGUGGUUUAAUUCGAUGAUACGCGAGGAACCUUACCCGGGCUCAAACGACAGUGGACAGCUCCUGAAAGGGCGUCUCCGGCAACGGCCGCUGUCGAGGUGCUGCAUGGUUGUCGUCAGCUCGUGCCGUGAGGUGUCGGCUUAAGUGCCAUAACGAGCGCAACCCCCAUCUCCAGUUGCCACCGGGUCGUGCCGGGCACUCUGGAGGGACUGCCAGCGCAAGCUGCGAGGAAGGCGGGGAUGACGUCAAAUCAGCACGGCCCUUACGUCCGGGGCGACACACGUGUUACAAUGGCGGAGAACAGAGGGGAGCCACGUGGCGACACGGAGCCGAUCCCGAAAAUCCGUCUCAGUUCGGAUUGGAGUCUGCAACCCGACUCCAUGAAGCUGGAUUCGCUAGUAAUCGCGCAUCAGCCAUGGCGCGGUGAAUACGUUCCCGGGCCUUG
rnacentral:rRNA from 1 species